AGAGUUUGAUCAUGGCUCAGGAUGAACGCUAGCGGCAGGCUUAAUACAUGCAAGUCGAGGGGCAGCAUGACUGUAGCAAUACAGUUGAUGGCGACCGGCAAACGGGUGCGGAACACGUACACAACCUUCCUUUAAGUGGGGAAUAGCCCAGAGAAAUUUGGAUUAAUACCCCGUAAUAUUAUGAUGUGGCAUCACAUUAUAAUUAUAGCUCAGGCGCUUAAUGAUGGGUGUGCGGCUGAUUAGAUAGUUGGCGGGGUAACGGCCCACCAAGUCUGCGAUCAGUAACUGGUGUGAGAGCACGACCAGUCACACGGGCACUGAGACACGGGCCCGACUCCUACGGGAGGCAGCAGUAAGGAAUAUUGGUCAAUGGACGCAAGUCUGAACCAGCCAUGCCGCGUGGAGGAUGAAGGCCCUCUGGGUUGUAAACUUCUUUUAUCUGGGACGAAAAAGGGCCUUUCUAGGUCAACUGACGGUACCAGAGGAAUAAGCACCGGCUAACUCCGUGCCAGCAGCCGCGGUAAUACGGAGGGUGCAAGCGUUAUCCGGAUUCACUGGGUUUAAAGGGUGCGUAGGUGGGUUGAUAAGUCAGUGGUGAAAUCUCCGAGCUUAACUUGGAAACUGCCAUUGAUACUAUUAGUCUUGAAUAUUGUGGAGGUCAGCGGAAUAUGUCAUGUAGCGGUGAAAUGCUUAGAUAUGACAUAGAACACCAAUUGCGAAGGCAGCUGGCUACGCAUAUAUUGACACUGAGGCACGAAAGCGUGGGGAUCAAACAGGAUUAGAUACCCUAGUAGUCC
rnacentral:rRNA from 1 species